GCAAGUCAGAUGUGAAAUCCACGGGCUCAACUCGUGAACUGCAUUUGAAACUGUUGAUCUUGAGUAUCGGAGAGGCAAUCGGAAUUCCUAGUGUAGCGGUGAAAUGCGUAGAUAUUAGGAGGAACACCAGUGGCGAAGGCGGAUUGCUGGACGACAACUGACGGUGAGGCGCGAAAGCGUGGGGAGCAAACAGGAUUAGAUACCCUGGUAGUCCACGCUGUAAACGAUGAAUACUAGGUGUGCGGGGACUGACCCCCUGCGUGCCGCAACUAACGCAAUAAGUAUUCCACCUGGGGAGUACGAUCGCAAGGUUGAAACUCAAAGGAAUUGACGGGGGCCCGCACAAGCGGUGGAUUAUGUGGUUUAAUUCGAAGCAACGCGAAGAACCUUACCAGGGCUUGACAUCCUACUAACGAAGUAGAGAUACAUCAGGUGCCCUUCGGGGAAAGUAGAGACAGGUGGUGCAUGGUUGUCGUCAGCUCGUGUCGUGAGAUGUUGGUUUAAUUCCCGCAACGAGCGCAACCCCCUAUUGUUAGUUGCUACGCAAGAGCACUCUAGCGAGACUGCCGUGGACAAAACGGAGGAAGGUGGGGACGACGUCAAAUCAUCAUGCCCCUUAUGUCCUGGGCUACACACGUAAUACAAUGGCGGUCAACAGAGGGAU
rnacentral:rRNA from 1 species